CUGUGGGAAAACAUUUUGCAUGGAUGCAAGGACUUGCCGAAACAAACUACCAAGCUUUGUCUUGAAAAUAUUAUUAAACUUUAUAUAAAGGUUUGCAGUUUUUCCUAUGCUAGAGACUACAUCAGCAAAUUUAAAAUUAAACAAAAAGCAGCAAAGAGCAAAGGGAGGGAUUGCAGAAUACCCGUCCACUUUUGAUAGCUUGUUAAAACAAAUAAAUUAAUUAAAAAAUUAUUUCAAAACAGUUCACAAUUAAAAUUUAAAGAUAAAACUCCAAGAAUAUGUUGCUCGUGAUUAAAUGCAUUGUGAGUCUUUGAAGAACGAAGCAUUUGAAAUUGGCAUACUUUCCUCAUUUCGCCAUGUUUACAAGGAAAUAACAGGUGUAAUAUGUCCAAGUGGACGAGUAUUCUGCAAUUUAGCUGUCCCGGAGCCUGUAAAUACAAAUCCUGCUCCUUCAAGGCAUUUCUUUUUCUCACAUGUUCUUUGCUAGUAAUUGUUCACAUCUUUAGCUUACUAGGUAAUGUAAUAAAAUGUUCCAUUAAGACAUGAUUUUGUUCAAUCAUCUUUACCCUUUAUAUCAACAACAAAAAUAUAUACACUAUUUUAAUAAUAUACAACUAUACACUAUAUAUGUUAAUAAAUGAGCCUUUUUCAUGUAAGGUAUGACAACAAAUGAGGGGUAUAAAUCGUAUAAUAGUAUCUACCAAAUGUACAAUCAUCAGGAGUUGUACAGGAGUUGUACUUGAGCAUGUAAUAACGAGAAUCAGCUUUUAUCUAUUGAGGCCCUGUUAGGGGGUUUCUAAAUCAACCAUAAUCCAAC